AUGAGUCUCAAUUUCACAAUGGUUGCAAACAGUGUAAAUUCUACCAACCUCCAUACAGCUGCAGUUAUGUUGUCCUAAAUUGGUUUCUGCUUUACAGGUACAUAGGUGUGAUGUUUGGACAAGUAAUCUUGUUUUACUUUGCAAUGUUUGUGUGGUUGCAGUUACACUGUCAUGAGAUGUGAUGUUUAGGCAAAUAAUCUUGUUUGUGUCAUAAUUUUUUCCCAUUUUUUCUUGUAUAUUCUUGUAGUUUGCUUACAUUUGCAUUUCAAGGUGAAAAUUGGGGUUCAAAACCAUAAAAAAUCGAGAAUAA
rnacentral:lncRNA from 1 species